AGGGAACCUUCACAAAGGACGAAAACCUGAUGGAGGAACCCCCGGGGAGGGAUGAAAGGUUUUGGAACGUAAAAAUCUGGUGUUAGGGAAGAACCAGUACGGUAGGGAAUGGACGUACCCUUACGGUACCUUAUUAGAAAUGCACGGCGCAUUCAGGUGCAGCAGCCGCGGUAAUACGUAGGUGGCAAGCGUUGUCCGGAAUUAUUGGGCGUAAAGCGCGCGCAGGUGGUUUCUUAAGUCUGAUGUGAAAGCCCACGGCUUAACCGUGGAGGGUCAUUGGAAACUGGGAGACUUGAGUGCAGAAGAGGAAAGUGGAAUCCCAAGUGUAGCGAUGAAAUGCGUAGAGAUUUGGAGGAACACCAGUGGCGAAGGCGACUUUCUGGUCUGCAACUGACGCUGAGGCGCGAAAGCAUGUGGAGCAAACA
rnacentral:rRNA from 1 species